rnacentral:tRNA from 3 species
UGGAGGAGUACCCAAGCGGCUGAAGGGUCUGGCUUCGAACACCAGUAGGUCGGUAGCACCGGCGCGAGGGUUCAAAUCCCUCCUCCUCCGU